CGGACGGCACGGGUGAGUAACACGUAUCCAACCUGCCGAUGACUCGGGGAUAGCCUUUCGAAAGAAAGAUUAAUACCCGAUGGCAUAGUUCUUCCGCAUGGUAGAACUAUUAAAGAAUUUCGGUCAUCGAUGGGGAUGCGUUCCAUUAGCUUGUUGGCGGGGUAACGGCCCACCAAGGCAUCGAUGGAUAGGGGUUCUGAGAGGAAGGUCCCCCACAUUGGAACUGAGACACGGUCCAAACUCCUACGGAAGGCAGCAG
rnacentral:rRNA from 1 species